rnacentral:lncRNA from 1 species
AGACAUGGUGAUGGGAGCCUGUAGUCCCAGCUACUCAGGAGGCUAAGGCACAAGAAUCUCUUGAACCCAGGAGGCAGAGGUUGCAAUGAGCUGAGAUCUGGCCACUGCACUCCAGCCUAGAAGACAGAGUGGGACUCCAUCAAAAAAAAAAAAAAAAAAAAAAAAUGACAGCAAAAAAGCGGCAGCAGCUUCCCUGUGCAUGUUGGCGUUUGUCUAUAUUUUAAUCCUAUAAACUUUACCCCAGGAGACUCUGUCCACACCAUGGACUUAGAUGAAAAUCCCUAUACUGAUGAGCAUAGAACCUAGUAAAUGCUCAGUUAAAAAAAAAAGAUGAGCCAUAGACUGGAAGGAAACAUUUGCAAGUCACCUAUCUAAUAAAACACUUUUAUCCAGACAUAUUUUUAAAACUCUCAAAACUCAGUAACAAUAAAAAUGGGCAAAACAUUUUGACAGGUAAGGUUUCAUAGCAAAUAAGCACAUGAAAUGAUGCUCAAUAAUCUCAGACAUUAGGAACACUGACGCCAUUUACAAAUCAGAUCGAUUAAAGCCACAGUGAAAUGCCACUACACACCUAUAAGAAGGCCUAAAAUUAAGAGUGCUGACCACGCUAAGAAUGGACAAGGACUGGAGACCCUGGAAUCUCACACACUUAUGCUGAGAAUUCAAAUGGUUUGACCAUUUUGGCAGUCUCUUAAAAAAUUAAAUGUAAACCUAUCACAUGAUCUAGCCAUUCCUCUCCUAAGAAUUUACUCAAGAAAAAUGAAAGCAUUUAUCCAUAUAGCUUGUGCACAAAUGUUCACAGCAGCUUUGUUUAUAAUGUACUAGUAAACACUGGGAACAACCCAAAGAGGCCCACACAGGAGAACGGAUGAGCCCACUGUGAUGCAGCCACAGCAGGGGCUACUCGGAAAGAAAGCAGAGCUAACUUCUGAUGCAGGAACA